UCCCUAUAAAUUAGAAGACACAGUUCUGCCCUCUAAUACAUCUUUCUCUUGUUCAUCCUUCACCUGUGAGGACUGCGUGCCUGACAUCUACCUGCCAGCCAUGGAUCCCAAAUGUAACUGCGAGAAUGGUGCCUCUUGCACCUGUGCAGGCUCCUGCAAAUGCCAAUCAUGCCAGUGUUCCUCCUGCAAGAAGACCUGCUGCUCCUGCUGCCCAGGAGAAUGUACCAAGUGUGCCCAGAACUGUGUCUGCAAAGACCCCCAGACAAGGAGUUGCAGCUGCUGCCAAUAAUGUCCUCACUUCCCUUUGACUGUAAAUAGAAGAAUUUGUGCAGACCUGAAUUUUUAUACAGCAUUGCAUGUGUUUUCUACUGUUUUUCUAUGAAAUAUAUGAAUUAAAAUAAACGAUGAAUACCUUUA